AAUUGCCCUGUCCUUCAGAAAGUCUAAAGAGUCCCAAGGUACAAAUUCCAUCAAAAAACAAGUCUGAGUCUGUCUUCUGAAUUUGGACUAAAUUUUGAAAAUCCCAAUUUGCAAAUAUAAUAUAGAUUUUCCCUGUCAAGUGUGGAAAUAUUCCAAGUAGGAGAAACAACCCAGCAGAAAGAUAUGGUGUACAGAAUAUUGAAAUAAGCACAAAUUCUUAAAUAAAGUUGAGACAUUUCAUGAUUUUGGAUGAAACAACCCUAGGAAGACAAACUUUUUACUGUCCUCAGCAAGGUAAAAGCUAUUGACAUAACUAGGAAGGAAACUAAGUAAUUAGGGAAGAAAACACCAAACCUUAAUUUGACCCUUUACUUUCAGUGAUUAAUUUAAAAAUACAUAUACAAUAAUAUUGAAAAUCUGGUUUGGAGAAGCAGUAUUCCAUGCCAUGCCCAGACUGCCUCUCUUCCUCUGCAGUAAAUCACUACCCACCACUUUCAGGCUGUGAGGGCAGAGGACGAUUAUUCAUAUUCAACACCCUGUUAACAAGUGUUUGUUCUUGUCCCUCCGCAGUGACUUCACAGAGCUUUAAUUGACAGCACAGAUGUCACAGCUCCUGUCUCCAGCCCAAGCAAUUGUUUGAAAAGCUUCUGAGUUAUUUAACUGCUGGUGUUGACAGGAAGCCGGACAUUUCUGCUCUGAUGAGGGCUUUGUUUUAAGGUCCUGUGGUUUUCCACCCUCAGCAGCAGCCCCUGCUUGGUCACUGCUCCAGUGUAAUCCUGCCUGUGAGAAUUUAGAGCUGCUCUGUUGUGCCAACAUCACAAUGGCCAAUUUACUGCCCUGGCAGGGAGACUGCUAAAAUCUCAGAAAGCUGGUGGUACAAUUUCUCCCCCUUUAUACAUGGCUGCUGAUCACCUGGUGAGCUGGACCUGUGCAGCAAAACCUUCCAGAGAGUCCUUCAGAGAUCUGUACCAGAACCAUGAGAACAGAACUAUCAGAACCAGAGAGAGCAGAGCAACCCAGCCCUGGUUUCACUUGACAACUCAGCUCCUGGGGAGGAGGUGGAGACUUCUUUACCUCUGAUGGUUAAUUAAAAGAAGUUUCUGUACUUGUG